GUCGUAACCUUGCACAAAGAGGAAAAGGAAGAAUUUGGGCAUGUAGGCGGGGCAAGGGGUGGUUUUUCCAUCCAACUUCUACCCUAUAAAGUUAACUAGAGGAUUCCUUGCUGCCUUCCUUCCUGUGUUCCUCCUCUUCGGAUUUUUUGUUUCCUUCUGUUGACUACCACACCCUGUCCUUGUUUAUCACUCUGCCCCCUCUCUCUUUCCCGCCGUUCUUCCAUUCCCACUUCUUCCUGUGCCCCUCAGCCCACGGCACCACCAUGCCUGCUAGAGGAUCAGUUAAAUAGCACCCCUCCCUGGACAGCCAGGUUAAUUGAUGCAGUCCCCUUUGGGCCACAACCAUUGGGAGGAGCAGGACUGUUGGUAGAGACUUGGGAAAGGAAAUCCCCUUCCAGUUUGGUUCCAAACAAAGAAAGUUGGUCCUCCCAGGACCUUCAGUCAACCUGCCCAAGCCAGAGUGGAGAUGAGAGGUGGGGAGAGGUGUGGAAGAGGGGAGAGAACAGAAUAAGAAAGAGCCGUGAAAGGGGUGCUGAGGGACCUGUGAAAGCAUCUAUCUCUGGAAGGCCUGAAGAGGCUGCUUUGGGCAAAGUCGAGGUCUCCACCUGGCCAACUGCCUCUUCCCUUCGUCCCAAAGGUGAGAGGAUCCCAAUGAGGCUGAGGGUCCGUAGGGAGCAAGGAUUAACCCUUUUCUCAGCCAGGUCUUGGCUGAUGGAGGGAGAGGUGCCGGCGGGCUUCGGACGUCCCCAGCGCUACCCUCCACCGCCACCCUCCACCGCCACUGCAAGGAAGGGGGGUGCGGAGGAAGGAGGCAGGCGGUGGCCAGGGGCAGCCGAAAGGGGACGGAAUACAGGGCGGGCGGAGUUCAACUUCAGAUGCUGGGCAGACCAGGGGACGCGAAAUAACCACCGCCAAUGCACGAGGAAAGGCAGGGGCCAGCGCGGGCGCGGGCGCGCGGCUCCUUGGCGCUGCGGAGUAGUUGGAGAGGGGCGGGAGAGCCCCGGCGGGCUGAGUUUUCCUGGAGUUGCGAGCAAGCACCAAAUCUCUCUCGGAUCGGUCCGCGGCGCGACCGCCCUCUCUGCCUCCUCUCUCAGCAGCUGUGCGGAUGUGAGGAGCAGGCGGAGAACGCGCCAGAGCCGGGAGCGGAAGCGAGCAUGGUCCCACACGUGAGAACAGAGAUGCCCAACAGCUGGAAAUCGCAGCCCCAGCCGCAGCCGAACAUCUGGAGCGCUAAUCGCAGGAGCCGCGGGCGGCCCUGGAGGUGGGGUCGUGAAAUGGGACGGGAAGGGGUUAGUGAUGGAACAGCUCAGCUAGCGGGGCACUCGAUGGCCCAUUCUUCGCGCCCCCAAAUUUGGACCUGGCCGGGAAUUCGCCUCAGCGCAAUAGCGAGGGCCGUCCCCUCCCCGCCAGUGCCCCCGCGCGUACCCCCACCAGCGGAGCCCCAGGUCUGCUAAGAAGGGUUAAUGGCCCUGCGCCCCAUUCCCAGCUCCAUUGCGGACCAGGAGCGUGCAGGUGAGGGAAUAUUGUUAAAAGACGACCUGGGGGCGAAGGCGAUAGAAAGAGGGACCGGAGGGGGGCGGGCGGGGCGGAGCGGGGCGGGGGCGCCGG
rnacentral:lncRNA from 9 species